AUUGAACGCUGGCGGCAUGCCUUACACAUGCAAGUCGAACGGCAGCACGGGAGCAAUCCUGGUGGCGAGUGGCGAACGGGUGAGUAAUAUAUCGGAACGUGCCCGGUCGUGGGGGAUAACGUAGCGAAAGCUACGCUAAUACCGCAUACGAUCUACGGAUGAAAGCGGGGGAUCGCAAGACCUCGCGCGAUUGGAGCGGCCGAUAUCAGAUUAGGUAGUUGGUGAGGUAAAGGCUCACCAAGCCGACGAUCUGUAGCUGGUCUGAGAGGACGACCAGCCACACUGGGACUGAGACACGGCCCAGACUCCUACGGGAGGCAGCAGUGGGGAAUUUUGGGACAAUGGGCGCAAGCCUGAUCCAGCAAUGCCGCGUGCAGGAUGAA
rnacentral:rRNA from 1 species